rnacentral:lncRNA from 1 species
CUUUUGAGUAUGAAUUUUUUUGCAAUUUUGCUUUCUACUUACAGCCAAAACGACUACCUUUCCUUGCAGUUACUAUUCUGAAUAAAAGCUUUAUGACAUUUCUCAUAUUCUCUCCUUCUCUGUCCUAAUUCAAAUUGAUCAAAGAAAAAGGCAAGAACUCUUCUACUUACACUUCUUUUCUAAUGCAGCUGCAUGAAACUUAACUCAUUAACUCCUUUGAGCUUGAUACCAAUGACAAAUAAGCUCGUCUGAAGCUCAUUAUUAAUACCAGUUUCCACCUGGUCUGGACCAUUAAAGAUCCCUGAAACUGCAGAUUUACUCUUAGCAUCUUCUACCCCCAGUAUCCUGAAUGGGUUAAUAACUAUCUUGCUAAAAUACUGUUGCAUUUCCCCCUGCUCACUAGCAACAGAUUCACUAGAGAUGACUGUUGUACAGAGAGAGGAGCAAAACUGAUGAAAACUCUGAUGCUUGUAUUAUGUACUACUGAGUCAGGCGGAAGUGAUUCCAAGAGUAAAACAUCAAGACACCACAACAAAUGCUGUAUGCAUUCUUAAAAUACAAGAAAUCAACUGGGAAUUAGGGGCCAUAAAAUUAGAAGUAGGUACAGCAUCUCAGGGGUCACGUCUCUCCAUGCUGCCUCUGUAGCGUUAUGACUCUGGAUGGAAGGGCUUCACAUCAGUCUGCACUGUCCCAGUACUGAGGUCCUGAAUGUUCUGUAUUCUUCCAAAUGAAUUAGGGAAAAAAAAAGUUUUCUAUAAAUAUAAAACAGAUCUUAAACUUUAAAGCAGAAUGAAAUUAGUGAUUUAAAGAGUCAGUAAUGAAUUGACUUCUAAAUAAUACAACCUUUAAAGUUAUUUUGAAUGACUUAAGGUAAAACUGUGAAGUCAAAUAAACUUUUUAUAAGAU